rnacentral:rRNA from 1 species
CAGUCGCCGCGGGAAUACGGAGGAUCCAAGCGUUAUUCGGAAUCAUUGGGUUUAAAGGGUCCGUAGGCGGUCUUGUAAGUCAGUGGUGAAAGCCCAUCGCUCAACGGUGGAACGGCCAUUGAUACUGCAGGACUUGAAUUAUUGGGAAGUAACUAGAAUAUGUAGUGUAGCGGUGAAAUGCUUAGAGAUUACAUGGAAUACCAAUUGCGAAGGCAGGUUACUACCAAUUGAUUGACGCUGAUGGACGAAAGCGUGGGUAGCGAACAGGAUUAGAUACCCGGGUAGUCCCUGUCUCUUAUAC